rnacentral:rRNA from 1 species
UACGUAGGUGGCAAGCGAUACUCGGAAUCACUAGGCGUAAAGCGCAGGUAGGCGGUUUGGUAAGUCUUUUGUGAAAGCUCCUGGCUUAACUGGGAGAGGUCAAGGGAAACUACCAGGCUAGAGUGCGGAAGAAGAAGCUGGAAUUCCCGGUGUAGCGGUGAAAUGCGUAGAUAUCGGGAAGAACACCGGUGGCGAAGGCGGCUCGCUGGGCCAAUGCUGACGCUGAGGCGCGAAAGCGUGGGGAGCAAACAGG